rnacentral:lncRNA from 1 species
AUGCAGUUCUUCCAGCUAUCAAUAUCACUCUUAGCCUCCUUUGUUUCGAAAACUGCCUCAAGCUCAAGCUCGCCAGCACUCCUGCUCACCAGGUAUUAGAAAAUAAAAAGAAAAGAGUAUAGAACUAAUGAAUGCCAUAGUACAUUGAGUUGAGUUUAUGCCAAUUCAUGCUAUGCCCUUUUAAAUUGAAAUUUGAACCCAAAUAGUCCUCACUGCAGUCAAAUACAUUAAUUCUUCCCUGCAGUCAAAUACCUUAAUUCUUCCCUGCAGUCAAAUCUCUGUUUCCUUCAUUUUCCUGCAGUAGUACUUUUUAUUUCAAUUUGGGUGACUUUUAAAUAUUUUAAUAAUUCAAAGCUUUCAAUAUUGUUAUUGACUUGUUUUGUUGCAUAGUUUGGAAUAUCCUGAGACUAGGGUCCUCUGUAAGCACCAAAUCUAUAAAAGUAUCCUAUAGUUCAGCUACUUGAACUGCACAGAUGCUAAAGUCGAAAGUGAAAAAUAGGCCGACAACGAGAUCUGAAAUCAGAGUGAAGGACGGAUAAAUAGUGCCAACUAAGCAUAACAUCUGAAAGUAAAUACUAAUUUUUUCAUUCUUUUCAAAACAGAUUUCCUGUCUGUCUGUUACAUGGUACAAUAUAACUUAAAUAACUGCUGUUCCAUAUCCUUAAGUUUUAUAAAUUAUUCGAUAAUUGUUAUGGAGGGGGUUAUAUAAUUUGAGUUUUGGUAUGAUGGAGCUCAACAUUGAGCUCAAGAAUUCCUCCGAUAGUUAUUGUAACCUAACAUAGGUAUGGUUGAAAUUACAGUUCCUUUGGAAAAAGCCUGCCUUUGAUUUGGUUUAGUUACAAAUUUACAAUGCUUUUUUAUGAAUUUACUCAAAUAGGUGGAUCAAUAGGAGACCAUAAUUUCUCGUCUCAACAUAUUCUUUCUUUUGGCCUUCUCUGUUGGAUCAAUGUUGUCCAUCCUGGAGGCUUUAGUUAUAAGUGCUGGGAGAAGUUCAAAUACAUGGUCGGAACUUCCUUGCUAAUGGAUAGAAGGGCUAAGUAAAUACUGUUGAGAUGACUACCGGAACUUGCUUUUUUCUCUGUUAUAGUUGAAAUGCAUUCUCUGCUUUUAAUAUCAAUUAAUAAUGUCAGAUUGUCAUAUUUGUAGAUUGUUUUUUGUUAGUAAAUUUUUUGUCUUAAGUUGACUGAACCUUUACCAUUUGUAUCGCAGCUACUAGAUUCAUACUCCAGUCAUCUCCUUGUUCGACAUGCAUUUUGCUGACAGUCGUCUGCAUGUCCAUACAUCCACUUGUCUCUUUUAUUUUCCUUCUAUAUUGUAGGAGCCAUCAUAACCAUUUCCCAUUUUCCACUUUCUUGAUCAGAUGGCAGACAAGCAUACUUGGUCAAACAAAGAAGAGAAAACAUUGCCGGCUGACAUCGAGGAGUCGUCGUUGCAAAUGGCCAAUGUGA